CUUUUCCCAGCAAACUCACCCACCGGUUUUCAUUAGAACGACCCAUCUCCUCCUUUUUUCCUCUCAAAAUUCAUUCCUCAAAAUCCUCUCUUUAACUCCUAAAAUCCAAAUCCAGAAAUAGAUUCAUCUCAAAAUCCUCUCUUUCCCUAUAGAUUCAUCUCCUUAUAGAUUUAUCUCAAGGAUAGUUGCUAACCUUCCCUAAAUCCCCAAAUUCCAAAAUCAAUUUUAUGGUCGAAUCAGAGAAGUAGUCCAAACGAAUAUGUAAGAUCUUCAGAUAAACCACACUCCAAACCAAACUCAACAAACAGAGCAAUUUGAUAAACCAGAGAUCAAGAAGAAGAAAAUACAAAGAUAACAGAGAAGAACAAAGCUAGGUUUUCGUGAAACAAGCGCGAUUCUUGAUUGUAGAGCUUCUUUAAAAAGGGCGAUUGUUGUUGCAUGUCUUCUGAUUAAUCUGAGAGGAUUUUCAUGGAUAAUGUAGAUAAAAGUUGGAUGCAUCUCCUAAGAUGGGCGGAUGAGUAUAUACAUGGAGUGAAUGAUUUCCUUGAUAAGGCAUUUGAAUGAGCUUCCCAAGGAAAUGAAAUAUUAUGCCCUUGCCAAAAGUGCAUUAAUCGCUAUUGGCAUUAUAAAAAUGUGGUGGAGGAUCACUUGGUCGUUAAUGGCUUUGUUGAUGGUUACACCGAAUGGGUUUUCCAUGGUGAAGGAUUUUCCUCUAGAAUUAAACCUCAUCAAAGCAAUAAUGAUGAAGGUUCUAACAUGCGUGAUGAUAUUGAUGGAUUACUUCAUGAUACAUUGCAGAAGUAUUCCUGAGUUAGCAAAGCUUAAAAUUAUAAAACAAGAUAGGAAGGUGGGGGAAGCACAUGCACAGAGCCUGUCAAAGAUACUUCAAAGACAGUGAUUCAUACAGAAAUAAAGGUUGUCUGAAUUUAUCAUGAGAUAACACCUUAGAAGAUCACAAGGAAAUAACUUCAAAAUUAAGUUUGGAAGUAGCUCUUUUUUCCCUACCCCCACCCCCACCCUCUUUGUGUGGGGGGGCCGAGGUGGCGGUAAAUCAAGUUUAACAGAAUCCAAAAGCUAGAACAUGAUCCUAUCAAAUCAGUAUCCGUUAUAUCUCCCAUGUGCACUGUAUAAGCAAAAUACUACACAAGCUUUUGUAAUGUUUGGUGCAUAAGCACAGUAGAAUUUAACAGUAUAGAAAUGUUUGCUAAUGUUAUUGAGUUGGGUAUUCGAACACAUGAGGAAUUGAACUGAAGUAAACUCAAAAUUCUAGCUUUGCUAAUGUUCAUUAAUCUUCUCAAGUUUGUAUAAUCCUGAGCCAUAAAGAUUUGUGUUUUGUUGA